CGGGGAGCUGCAGGGGGCAGUGGCUUGGUGGACGCUGCCCAGGCACACCGACAGCUGCGCCCAGCGCCCCAUCUGUGGGCUCCCUCCUUCUCCCAUCUGCAGGGCGCUGGGAAUCCACAGAUGGGCAGGUGACAGGCGGGCAGCGUCCCUGCAGAGCGGCCUCCCUGGCCCAAGACACGAUGUGGGACUGGCUGGUGCAGGGGGCAGUGGACAGACUCCAGCUGGGCUGAGCACACGGCCAAGGCUGCCCAGACAGUCUAGACUGUCCCUCCUUCACAGGAACAUGCAGGAUGAGAAGGGGAAAGGACUGCCCGGCCCGGCGUCCCCCGCACGCCCGUCACGGCCACCCAGGGACCUGCCCUCUCCAGGAGCUCAUCACUGCCCUGGCUGGGGUUGUCCCCGCCUGGCCCUCUGCCCCUCCCACCUGUCCCUCCUUCUGCCGGCCUCCCACCACCCGGCCAUCAUUCCUGCUCCCAGGGAGCCCUGCCGCUGGUCAGGGCCAGAGCGCCCACUGGCACCCAGGGGACCCCAGAAGGAAUCGGGAGACGCCACUCCUGCCACAGACGACCCAAGGCUCAGGCUGGGGUGAGGUGCCUAGCUGGGGGCAAAAUCGAGGACAGUCCCCAAGUCUCAAUCAUCAAGAUAGGCGACGUUUGGACGCGACAUUUCCCAAAACUGAGUGUGGCCGAGGUGUCCCUAAGUCCAGAAGAACCGUGUCUUCUCAACACGGUUCAGCCCGGCUCCUGUGGGCAGAGGUGUGGGGGG
rnacentral:lncRNA from 1 species